UACACGACCGUACCGCAAACCGACACUGGUGCGCGAGAUGAGUAUUCUAAGGCGCUUGAGAGAACUCAGGAGAAGGAACUCGGCAAAUUGACACCGUAACUUCGGAAGAAGGUGUGCCUUUAGUAGGUGAACCAUUUACUUGGGGAGCCCAAUGAGGCUGCAAAAAAUCGGUGGCUGCAACUGUUUAUUAAAAACACAGCACUCUGCUAAGACGAAAGUCGACGUAUAGGGUGUGACGCCUGCCCGGUGCUGGAAGAUUAAAUGAUGGGGUGCAAGCUCUUGAUUGAAGUCCCAGUAAACGGCGGCCGUAACAAUAACGGUCCUAAGGUAGCGAAAUUCCUUGUCGGGUAAGUUCCGACCUGCACGAAUGGCGUAAUGAUGGCCACACUGUCUCCUCCUGAGACUCAGCGAAGUUGAAAUGUUUGUGAUGAUGCAAUCUCCCCGCGGAAAGACGGAAAGACCCCAUGAACCUUUACUGUAGCUUUGUAUUGGACUUUGAACAGAUCUGUGUAGGAUAGGUGGGAGGCUUUGAAGUGUGGUCGCUAGAUCGCAUGGAGCCAACGUUGAAAUACCACCCUGGUGUGUUUGAGGUUCUAACCUAGGUCCAUUAUCUGGAUCGGGGACAGUGCAUGGUAGGCAGUUUGACUGGGGCGGUCUCCUCCCAAAGUGUAACGGAGGAGUUCGAAGGUACGCUAGGUACGGUCGGACAUCGUGCUAAUAGUGCAAUGGCAUAAGCAUGCUUAACUGCGAGACUGACAAGUCGAGCAGAUGCGAAAGCAGGACAUAGUGAUCCGGUGGUUCUGUAUGGAAGGGCCAUCGCUCAACGGAUAAAAGGUACUCUGGGGAUAACAGGCUGAUACCGCCCAAGAGUUCAUAUCGACGGCGGUGUUUGGCACCUCGAUGUCGGCUCAUCUCAUCCUGGGGCUGUAGCCGGUCCCAAGGGUAUGGCUGUUCGCCAUUUAAAGAGGUACGUGAGCUGGGUUUAAAACGUCGUGAGACAGUUUGGUCCCUAUCUUCCGUGGGCGCUGCAGGUUUGAGGAAGCCUGCUCCUAGUACGAGAGGACCGGAGUGGACGAACCUCUGGUGUAUCGGUUGUCACGCCAGUGGCAUUGCCGAGUAGCUAAGUUCGGAAGAGAUAACCGCUGAAAGCAUCUAAGCGGGAAACUCGUUUCAAGAUUAGAUCUGCCGGGGCCUUGAGCCCCCUAAAGAGUCGUUCAAGACCAGGACGUUGAUAGGUCAGGUGUGGAAGC
rnacentral:rRNA from 1 species